rnacentral:rRNA from 1 species
AUUGAACGCUGGCGGCAGGCCUAACACAUGCAAGUCGAGCGAGCGGCGGACGGGUGAGUAAUGUCUGGGAAACUGCCUGAUGGAGGGGGAUAACUACUGGCAACGGUAGCUAAUAUCGCAUACAAUCAGAUGGGCCCAGAUGGGAUUAGCUAGUAGGUGGGGUAACGGCUCACCUAGGCGACGAUCCCUAGCUGGUGUGAGAGGAUGACCAGCCACACUGGAACUGAGACACGGUCCAGACUCCUACGGGAGGCAGCAGUGGGGAAUAUUGCACAAUGGGGGAAAGCCUGAUGCAGCCAUGCCGCGUGUGUGAUGAAGGCCUUCAGGUUGUAAAGCACUUUCAGCGGGGAAGCGUUACCCGCAGAAGAAGCACCGGCUAACUCCGUGCCAGCAGCCGCGGUAAUAC